GAUGAACGCUGGCGGCGUGCCUAAUACAUGCAAGUCGAGCGAACAGACGAGGAGCUUGCUCCUCUGACGUUAGCGGCGGACGGGUGAGUAACACGUGGAUAACCUACCUAUAAGACUGGGAUAACUUCGGGAAACCGUAGCUAAUACCGGAUAAUAUAUUGAACCGCAUGGUUCAAUAGUGUAAGACGGUUUUGCUGUCACUUAUACAUGGAUCCGCGCCGCAUUAGCUAGUUGGUAAGGUAACGGCUUACCAAUGCAACGAUGCGUAGCCGACCUGAGAGGGUGAUCGGCCACACUGGAACUGAGACACGGUCCAGACUCCUACGGGAGGCAGCAGUAGGGAAUCUUCCGCAAUGGGCGAAAGCCUGACGGAGCAACGCCGCGUGAGUGAAGAAGGUCUUCGGAUCGUAAAACUCUGUUAUUAGGGAAGAACAAAUGUGUAAGUAACUAUGCACUUCUUGACGGUACCUAAUCAGAAAGCCACGGCUAACUACGUG
rnacentral:rRNA from 1 species